rnacentral:rRNA from 1 species
UACGUAGGGGGCAAGCGUUGUCCGGAUUCAUUGGGCGUAAAGAGCGUGUAGGCGGCCAGGUAGGUCGGUUGUGAAAACUGGAGGCUCAACCUUCAGAGGUCGACCGAAACCAUCUGGCUAGAGUCCGGGAGAGGAGAGUGGAAUUCCUGGUGUAGCGGUGAAAUGCGCAGAUAUCAGGAAGAACACCCGUGGCGAAAGCGGCUCUCUAGUACGUGACUGACGCUGAGACGCGAAAGCGUGGGGAGCGAACAGG